rnacentral:rRNA from 1 species
UACGUAGGAGGCAAGCGUUGUCCGGAAUCACUGGGCGUAAAGCGCGUGUAGGCGGAUCGCUAAGUCUGUGGUGAAAGCGCCUGGCUUAACCGGGCGAGGUCCAUGGAAACUAGCGGUCUGGAGGCCGGUAGAGGGGGGUGGAAUUCCGGGUGUAGUGGUGAAAUGCGUAGAGAUCCGGAGGAACACCAGUGGCGAAGGCGGCCCCCUGGGCCGCGCCUGACGCUGAGACGCGAAAGCGCGGGGAGCGAACAGG